rnacentral:miRNA from 1 species
AUCGGCGGCUGGUGGUGGUGGUGGUGGUGGUGGUGGUGUGCUACUGCUGCAAGUAUCUAAUACCAUCACCACCAUCAUUAUCAUCAUAAUCA